UGAGAGUUUUGGUCCUGGACUUUCCGUUAUUUAUGAUUAAGAUUACACAUGCAAGUAUCCACACUCCAGUGAGUCCGCCCAAUCACUAUAGGAGCAGGCAUCAGGCACAACCCAUCUUAUCAGCCCAUAACGCCAAGAUAUCCACACCCACACGGGUAUUCAGCAGUGACCAAUAUUAGGCUAUGAGCUAACGCUCGACCUAGCUAUACUCCAAGGAGUCGGCAAACUUCGUGCCAGCCGCCGCGGUUAUACGAAGUGACUCCAAAUAACGAACAGCGGCAAAAAGCGUGAACACACACAUUCAACACACUAAGCAUCAACUGGAACUAAUACGUAAAACCAAAGCCCAAUUUGAACACCAACACAGAGCUUAAACACUAGAAUUCAAAACUCACGAAAACUGAGAAACAAACUAGGAUUAGAUACCCUACUAUGCUCAAUCGUAAACAUCGAUUUUACUUUGACCCGCCAGAGAACAACGAGCAAAGCUUAAAACCCAAAGGACUUGGCGGCGCUUCAUAUCACCCUAGAGGGGCCUGUCAUAUAAUCGAUAACCCACGAUACACCUUACCACCUUUAGCCAGUACAGCCUAUAUACCGCCGUCGCCAGCCCAUCUUGAUAGAGGAAUAAAAUGGACCAAAAAGUAUUUAUACUCAUACGACAGGUCAAGGUGUAGCUUAUAAGAUGGUAAAUGAUGGACCACAUUGCUUAACAAAGCUAUACCAAAACUGCACUGAAACACACACUUUAAGGUGAAUUUAACAGUAAGACAAACAAGAAAAUCUGUCUAAAGUAUGCUCUGGAGCGUGCACACACCGCCCGUCACCCUACUUUACUCACAACCCACAAGCAUAUUACAACAACCAAAACAAGAGUAGGAAAGUCGUAACAAGGUAAGCGCACCGGAAGGUACGCUUGGAAGA
rnacentral:ncRNA from 1 species